GAUUUGUUGUGAUGAAUCUACAAGAACGGUAUCUGAGUAAGGUAACUCUUGAAAAGGUGAUCCUUCGUUGAUUAUAGAUCCUUAACUGAUCAUAUAUUAAUUCUGAGCAAACU